UUUCCGUAGGUGAACCUGCGGAAGGAUCAUUACUGAGUGAGGGCCCUCUGGGUCCCAACUCCCAACCGCGUUUGUUGUACCUUGUUGCUUCGGUGAGCCCGCCUCACGGCCGCCGGGGGGCAUCUGCCCCCGGGCCCGCGCUCGCCGACGACACCCUUGAACUCUGUCUGAAGUGUGCAGUCUGAGCGAAAACUAAAUAAGUUAAAACUUUCAACAACGGAUCUCUUGGUUCCG
rnacentral:misc_RNA from 1 species